UAGGACAUGUUAAACUGCCAAGACUGACAUC
rnacentral:piRNA from 1 species